rnacentral:rRNA from 1 species
ACGGGGGGAGCAAGCGUUGUUCGGAAUUACUGGGCGUAAAGGGCUCGUAGGCGGCCAACUAAGUCGGAUGUGAAAUCCCCAGGCUUAACCUGGGAACUGCGUGUGAUACUGGAUGGCUUGAAUUCGGGAGAGGGAUGCAGAAUUCCAGGUGUAGCGGUGAAAUGCGUAGAUAUCUGGAGGAAUACCGGUGGCGAAGGCGGCAUCCUGGACCGACAUUGACGCUGAACGGCGAAAGCUAGGGGAGCAAACGGGA